GAUGAACGCUGGCGGCGUGCCUAAUACAUGCCAGUCGAGCGAACAGAUGAGGAGCUUGCUCCUCUGACGUUAGCGGCGGACGGGUGAGUAACACGUGGAUAACCUACCUAUAAGACUGGGAUAACUUCGGGAAACCGCAGCUAAUACCGCAUAAUAUAUUGAACCGCAUGGUUCAAUAGUGAAAGACGGUUUUGCUGUCACUUAUAGAUGGAUCCGCGCCGCAUUAGCUAGUUGGUAAGGUAACGGCUUACCAAGGCAACGAUGCGUAGCCGACCUGAGAGGGUGAUCGGCCACACUGGAACUGAGACACGGUCCAGACUCCUACGGGAGGCAGCAGUAGGGAAUAUUCCGCAAUGGGCGAAAGCCUGACGGAGCAACGCCGCGUGAGUGAUGAAGGUCUUCGGAUCGUAAAACUCUGUUAUUAGGGAAGAACAAAUGUGUAAGUAACUAUGCACGUCUUGACGGUACCUAAUCAGAAAGCCACGGCUAACUACGUG
rnacentral:rRNA from 1 species